ensembl:lncRNA
AUGAAUGUUCUUCACCUGCCACUUAUUUUUCUCUCUGUUGUUACACAGAGCUCAUACUAAUUCUUUUUUAUUGCUUGGUCAACUACAAAUACUUAAUGAAGACCUGCUGCAUAUCAUGCACUCUUCUAGGCACUAGGAGGAUAGCAGAGCACAAAAUCAGGCCCUACUUUAAUGAGGCUUUCAUUCUGGUGGAGGAGAGAGAUACACUAGUUGUACAUUCAGGUGGUAAUAAAUAUUAAAACAGGAGAGGGGAUGACCCCAUAGAAUAAGCCAAGGACAGCAGACAGUUGUGAGAUGAGUUCAAAGAGCAGGAACAAGAUCAAUAGAAUAAUCAUAAGAUGAACUUUGAAUUUUAUCCUGGGAAGAAUGGGAAGAUCUUGGAAAAAAAAAUUGUAUUAAAGCAACAGUUAUGGGCAAUUAUUUAUGCUGCUGCAUUGUUUAAAAAAUUAUUGGGUGCCAACUGAGAAUAGGGAUUACAGGAGGUUAUGGCAGUAUUCAAUGGGAGCAUAGGGUUUGGACUAGGGUGAAAAUGGAGUAGUAAGAAAGCAAUUCUGGGUAUAUUUUGAAAGAAUCAACAGUAUUUGUAGGAAGAUUGGAUAUAGCGUGUGAGAGUCAAAAACUAGCUCUCACUUGUUGGGGUGCACUUCUGUAUUCACAGCACUCAGAAGGCUGAGGCAGAAGGAUUGCUGCAAAUUUAAUACUAGCCUGGGCUACAUAGUUCAAGGCCAGCCUGAACAACAUAAUGAGACCACAUCUAAAAAAAGGCUGUUAGGAGGAAACUGCCAUUUACCUAGAUGGGGAAAAUGCAUACUCAUCUUUAAAUGAGAUUCUUCCCAAAUACCCAUAGGAUUUUCAUGUUAGGGAGGAGUCAGGCUAGCAGAGUUUUCUUCAUAAUUUGAUGUGUGUAUGAAUCAAGGACAAUCAGACAUUACAGGGCUGUUCAGUUUCCUCUUUUCCCACCACCACACUGACAGGACUGGUCCUAACAGCCUCCCCUGCCAGGCACCGGCCAGCCCAUCCCCAUCAUGUAGAAGCAGGCAGCCUCCUGGGCCUUUACUUGACACUCAUUACUUUUUCAACUCUUCUACCCAUUUUAGGUUAAGAGUUUCAGCUGUCUCCUAGAUGUGUUGAAACUGGGGUUUGCACAUCUGUUUCUCAUUCUCUUUGUUGCUUUUGGGUGAUUUCCAAGGGAAGAAAGGUGACUUCACUCUUCUGUCUCCAAACUGGAAGUACACAUUAAGUUUAACACCCAGAUUACUAUGUCUGAACCCCCUCUGGCUUGCUUUUUGAAUGUCAGCUUCCCACAAAGAAUGCCCCUAUUACAAAACAGUACCUUCCCACAGCUGCUCUUCACAGUCAGGCUGCUGCAAGGAGCCUGCCUUACACCACCAAAAUGGAUUCUUGAGCUCUCACCAACCAGUACCAGUGUCAUACCGCCUAAGGCUGAGUUCCAUAGUGUCAUUUAGCCUGCCAGUCUCUUCAAAUGACUGAAAGAAUUGUUAUAUUAGAAAUAAUAUAGCAAUUAUACAUUUUGAUCCAAAUGUCUAAAGGGUAAGGGAAGGGAAAGAAGGGAAAGGAAAAAAUAUGAGAAAAGGAAAAAAUGCCAAUAAAGUCUUUGUAAAUAAGGAGGGGUGGAGGAGUUGAAGGGAGAAUAGGAGAGUGGGGAAAAAAAUAAGAACCAAGAUACAUCAUGUAAAGGUACGAGAUCCCAAUGAUGAAUGUAACUGUAUUGUAUACCUAAAAUGUACCAAUAAACUUAAUGGAAAGAAAAAA